rnacentral:lncRNA from 1 species
GGCAAUCCCCUAAUGUUCCCUUCCACCUUGUGGAAGUUUUGUUCUUUCGCUCUUUGCAAUAAAUCCCAUUGUUGCUCGCUCUUUGGGGUCUCACUGUCUGUGCGAGCUGUAAUACUCGCCGCAAAGGUGUCUGGCUUCACUUCCGAGACCAGCGAGACCCCGAACCCACCGGGAGGAAUGAACAACUCCGGAUGGGAGGGACAAACAACACCAGACGCACCGCCUUAAGAGUCCUAACGCUCACCGCGGAGGUCUGCGGCUUCACUCUUGAAUGAAGCCAGCGAGAUCACAAACCCACCAGAAGGAAGGAACUCUGAACACAUCCGAAAAUCAGAAGGAACAAACUCCGGACACACUACCUUUAAGAACUGUAACACUCAAAUCGCGAGGGUCCACGGCUUCGUUCUUGAAGUCAGUGAGACCAAGAACCCACAAAUUCCGGACACUUCCCCACACAGAGGGAACUGGCCUAACACUCUGGUGGUGCCAAUAGGAUGUACUGACAGAUCAGAAGUGGUCGUGAGAGAAGGAGCAAGUAGCCAGAAGAGUGAAGUGUGCACUGGCUGAGAUGUGGGAGCAGGUGUUGUUGGUUUCCCCGGAGAUGCAGCAAGAAGGCCCUCGCCAGAUAUCAAGGCCUUAAGCUUGGACUUCCCAGCCUCCAGAACUGGGGGAAGAGCCAAGAUGUCUGAAUAGAAACAGCUCCGGUCUACAGCUCCCAGCGUGAGCAAUGCAGAAGACAGGUGAUUUCUGCAUUUCCAUCUGAGGUACCGGGUUCAUCUCACUAGGGAGUGCCAGACAGUGGGCGCAGGUCAGGGGGUGCUCGCACCGUGUGCCAGC